rnacentral:rRNA from 1 species
AUUGAACGCUGGCGGCAUGCCUUACACAUGCAAGUCGAACGGUAACAGGUCUUCGGAUGCUGACGAGUGGCGAACGGGUGAGUAAUACAUCGGAACGUGCCCGAGAGUGGGGGAUAACGAGGCGAAAGCUUUGCUAAUACCGCAUACGAUCUCAGGAUGAAAGCAGGGGACCGCAAGGCCUUGCGCUCACGGAGCGGCCGAUGGCAGAUUAGGUAGUUGGUGGGAUAAAAGCUUACCAAGCCGACGAUCUGUAGCUGGUCUGAGAGGACGACCAGCCACACUGGGACUGAGACACGGCCCAGACUCCUACGGGAGGCAGCAGUGGGGAAUUUUGGACAAUGGGCGCAAGCCUGAUCCAGCCAUGCCGCGUGCAGGAUGAAGGCCUUCGGGUUGUAAACUGCUUUUGUACGGAACGAAAAGACUCCUUCUAAUAAAGGGGGUCCAUGACGGUACCGUAAGAAUAAGCACCGGCUAACUACGUGCCAGCAGCCGCCGUAAUAC